rnacentral:rRNA from 1 species
UCUCGGGGUUACAGCCUUGCUGAAUUAUUCACCCUUGUCUUUUGCGUACUUCUUGUUUCCUUGGUGGGUUCGCCCACCACUAGGACAAACAUAAACCUUUUGUAAUUGCAAUCAGCGUCAGUAACAAAUUAAUAAUUACAACUUUCAACAACGGAUCUCUUGGUUCUGGCAUCGAUGAAGAACGCAGCGAAAUGCGAUAAGUAGUGUGAAUUGCAGAAUUCAGUGAAUCAUCGAAUCUUUGAACGCACAUUGCGCCCUUUGGUAUUCCAAAGGGCAUGCCUGUUCGAGCGUCAUUUGUACCCUCAAGCUUUGCUUGGUGUUGGGCGUCUUGUCUCUAGCUUUGCUGGAGACUCGCCUUAAAGUAAUUGGCAGCCGGCCUACUGGUUUCGGAGCGCAGCACAAGUCGCACUCUCUAUCAGCAAAGGUCUAGCAUCCAUUAAGCCUUUUUUUCAACUUUUGACCUCGGAUCAGGUAGGGAUACCCGCUGAAC